UAUUGGACAAUGGGCGAAAGCCUGAUCCAGCAAUGCCGCGUGAAUGAUGAAGGCCUUAGCGUCGUAAAGUUCUUUUAGUGGGGAAGAUAAUGACGGUACCCACAGAAAAAGCACCGGCUAACUUCGUGCCAGCAGCCGCGGUAAUACGAAGGGUGCAAGCGUUGUUCGGAAUUACUGGGCGUAAAGCGCGCGUAGGCGGUUUGAUUAGUUGGGAGUGAAAUCCCGGGGCUUAACUCCGGAAUUGCUUUCAAAACUAUCAAUCUAGAGUAUGGCAGGGGACAGUGGAAUUCCUAGUGUAGAGGUGAAAUUCGUAGAUAUUAGGAGGAACACCAGUGGCGAAAGCGACUGUCUGGACCAUUACUGACGCUGAGGCGCGAAA
rnacentral:rRNA from 1 species